ensembl:snRNA U6 U6 spliceosomal RNA
GUGCUCACGUCGCCAGCACAUAUUUUAAAAUUGGAACGAUACUGAGAAGUCUAAAUGGCCCUUGAGCAAGGAUGACGCACACAUUUGUGAAACAUUCCAUAUUCUU